rnacentral:rRNA from 1 species
GACGAAGGUGGCGAGCGUUGUUCGGAAUCACUGGGCAUAAAGCGCACGUAGGCGGUGACGUAAGUCGGGUGUGAAAUCCCUCGGCCUAACCGAGGAACUGCGCCCGAUACUGCGUUGCUUGAGGACCAGAGGGGUGCAUGGAAUUUCCGGUGGAGCGGUGAAAUGCGUUGAUAUCCAUAGGAACUCCGGUGGCGAAGGCGGCACGCUGGACCUUUUCUGACGCUGAGGCGCGAAAGCCAGGGGAGCAAACGGG